UACGUAGGGUGCAAGCGUUGUCCGGAAUUAUUGGGCGUAAAGAGCUCGUAGGCGGUCUGUCGCGUCGGCUGUGAAAUCCCGAGGCUCAACCUCGGGUCUGCAGUCGAUACGGGCAAACUGGAGUACUGCAGGGGAGACUGGAAUUCCUGGUGUAGCGGUGAAAUGCGCAGAUAUCAGGAAGAACACCCGUGGCUAAGGCGGUUCUCUGGGCAUUACCUGACGCUGAGGAGCGAAAGUGUGGGGAGCGAACAGG
rnacentral:rRNA from 1 species